GCAGACACAUUCCAGCCAAUCAGCAGCAGACCUUCCCUCCCAGACCCUCCCACCUCCUGGACAGCAUCCAUUUUACAUUCAUUGUGAAGCUGCAUUCUUAGUGAGCUGUCCAGGAGUUGGGAGGGUCUGGGAGGGAGGGUCUGCUGCUGAUUGGCUGGGAUGUGUCUG